rnacentral:rRNA from 1 species
UACGUAGGGUGCGAGCGUUGUCCGGAAUUAUUGGGCGUAAAGAGCUCGUAGGCGGUUUGUCGCGUCGGCUGUGAAAACUCGGGGCUCAACCCCGAGCCUGCAGUCGAUACGGGCAGACUAGAGUGCUGUAGGGGAGACUGGAAUUCCUGGUGUAGCGGUGAAAUGCGCAGAUAUCAGGAGGAACACCGGUGGCGAAGGCGGGUCUCUGGGCAGUAACUGACGCUGAGGAGCGAAAGCGUGGGGAGCAAACAGG